rnacentral:lncRNA from 1 species
AANUUUGAUUCCGAAUUUUUAAUUGGUAAACGUAUAAUAUCCGUAUAAAUUACGUAUCCGAAUAAUUACCACAUCCGUUUUUUAGCCGUAUUUUUCAACAAAAUUAAAAAUUAAAAAACGAAUUUUAUCCGAAUUAUACCCGUACCGAAUUUUUGCCGAAUCCGAAUUAACUAACUAUGGUUUGGAGAAGAACUUUUGGGGGAGAAAUAGACUAA